rnacentral:sRNA from 1 species
CAAGCACCUCGGUAGGUGAGGCGUCUGCACGGACACAGGCCACUGACCCCGAACGUCGAGAGACGCCCCGGGUCAGGACAGCUCUUCCCGGACACAUGGGUUGAGCCCAAGUGGCUUCUGGACGAGGAGCGAUCGCAAGCGCGGGUCGCGACCAUCGGCCAGAUACGCCGUGCAGUGCCGAAGCUCCGACGAGAGGGGUGCGGC